rnacentral:rRNA from 1 species
GAUGAACGCUGGCGGCGUGCCUAAUACAUGCAAGUCGAGCGAACGGACGAGACGCUUGCUUCUCUGAUGUUAGCGGCGGACGGGUGAGUAACACGUGGAUACCCUACCUAUCAGACUGGGAUAACUUCGGGACACCGGAGCUAAUACCGGAUAAUAUUUUGAACCGCAUGGUUCAAAAGUGAAAGACGGUCUUGCUGUCACUUAUAGCUGGUUCCGCGCUGCAUUAGCUAGUUGGUAAGGUAACGGCUUACCAAGGCAACGAUGCAUAGCCGACCUGAGAGGGUGAUCGGCCACACUGGAACUGAGACACGGUCCAGACGCCUACGGGAGGCAGCAGUAGGGAAUCUGCCGCAAUGGGCGAAAGCCUGACGGAGCAACGCCGCGUGAGUGAUGAAGGUCUUCGGAUCGGAAAACUCUGUUAUGAGGGAAGAACAUAUGUGUAAGUAACUGUGCACAUCGUGACGGUACCUAAUCAGAAAGCAACGGCUAACUACGUG